UCAAUCUUUAUUUUUUCGUUCUCCCUUCACCGAUAUCCCAUUUGUCCCACGUCUAUUGUUAUUUUUCUUCUGACUCUGUCCCACUUCUAUAAUUAUUUCUCUCCUGACUCUUGUAAUUUUUCCUCUCCUUUAUACUUCUACCGCUGGUCUUUUCCCCUUGUCUUUGAACUUUAUCGUCCGACUUUGUUUUGUCGUCAGAGCUGUUGACG
rnacentral:lncRNA from 1 species